AAAUCCCCGAGUGAUAAAAAUGCUUUUACAAUGGAAGGGAAGGCAGCUUGCCAGCUUGACAGCUUGACAUUCGCUCAAGUGUCUCUCGUCUGUCAGUGAUUCCAGAUUGUUGACGAAAUAUCGUCUUCUGCUACUUCUAAGUUUCGAUGGCCAUUGAUAAUUGGAGAGCAGCAUUGGAAUGCAACAGCUUUGUCUGGGCUAAAUGCCCUACUAGAUAGAAUCCUCUCGGGAAACUUCGUCUGCUCCUAAGUUUUACACAAUACACAUCACAAGUUACUUCCUAAAAUCAAAACUAAUUUAGAUGAGGAUUUUGAGAAUUUUAGCAGAUGUUUUUGUGUGACCUAGGUGCUUGUGAGUUGUGACAGUAGAGAUCAAAUCAUUCAAAUGGGUCAAUCCAAUAAUGUAAGCUAUGUCUUCCAAAGCUAAAUAGUUUCUACUGUCAUUUAAUGUUUAUAAUAAUAUGUCAGGUUAACUUCCCCUCUCAAAUCAUACUAAAUCUUUAAAUAUUGAUCCCUUCCCCAGAUCCAAUUCUUUGCUGCUAUCCUUUAAAGACAACAGCAAAAUAAUGCUCCCCACUCAAGAGGUUGUGGUGACCUCCACUAAGUUCUAAUUUAGGACAUUGAUAGAUUUGAGGUUAAUCCAAUCAUCCCUCACCACUCUACAGUUGUUUGGAAACUGACAAGAGAUUACUGGAAUCGAAGACUGUUUAUUUGUGUAGAUGUAGAUUAAUUACGCAAAAUUUCCCCAUGUCUUGAUUGAUAGUAUGUGGAAUUUUAGUAAGCAAACUGUUUGACAGUGACUUAAAUAGCGAUGUUUUGUUAGGGUAAUUUCGGUACAUUCGAACCGGACGUUCUACUUAUUAAAUUCUUGAUAUUAUUAUA
rnacentral:lncRNA from 1 species